rnacentral:piRNA from 1 species
UCCAUGGAAGAGAUUACAUGAACAGUCAUG